GUCAUUCCAAAUGGUUCACUCACUUUUCCUGCCACUGUCUACUACUCACAGGUCAGCACAGCUCAGGUCUGUGUUCUAUUCACUACACCCCCCAUCUGCUUCGCACACACUGGCCAUUUUCAACAUUACAGGUGUGCGACAGUCCCUCGAGGGCCAGGCCCCGGCUCCUGCAGCUCCAGCUCCAGGUAGUUGAGCUGCUUCUUAGACGUGGGACUAACAGGAAUAUUCACGUAUGUCACUCCCUCACUGUGUGGCCUCUCAGGAAGCGGUGCAUCUGGGGGGAAAAUGAACACUGCCCCUGUAAAUGCAACAGAAAGACUGUUAAUUAAACUGAGAUGGUAUUUUGUU